AGUGAACGCUGGCGGCGUGCCUAAUACAUGCAAGUCGAACGAAGUGGCGCACGGGUGAGUAAUAUAUAGUUAAUCUGCCCUACCCUGAGGAACAACAGUUGGAAACGACUGCUAAUACCUCAUAGUGUAGGAUGAGUCUAUAUCGUAUCAGCUAGUUGGUAAGGUAAUGGCUUACCAAGGCUAUGACGGCUAACUGGUCUGAGAGGAUGAUCAGUCACAUUGGAACGGAGACACGGUCCAAACUCCUACGGGAGGGAGCAGUAAGGAAUAGUGCGCAGUGGGGGAAACCCUGACGCAGCUACGCCGCGUGGAGGAUGACACUUUGCGGAGCGUAAACUCCUUUUAGCAGGAAAGCGGUACCUGAUGAAUAAGCAACGGCUAACUCCGUGCCAGCAGCCGCGGUAAUUC
rnacentral:rRNA from 1 species